UACGAAGGGGGCUAGCGUUGCUCGGAAUCACUGGGCGUAAAGCGCACGUAGGCGGGUCGUUAAGUCAGGGGUGAAAUCCCGGAGCUCAACUCCGGAACUGCCUUUGAUACUGGCGACCUUCGAGUCCGGGAGAGGUGAGUGGAACUGCGAGUGUAGAGGUGAAAUUCGUAGAUAUUCGCAAGAACACCAGUGGCGAAGGCGGCUCACUGGCCCGGUACUGACGCUGAGGUGCGAAAGCGUGGGGAGCAAACAGG
rnacentral:rRNA from 1 species